UGAAAAGUGAAAAGUGUUUAUAAAUUUCUGUAAAUAAUUAAGAAUUUUUUUUUUUAUUUUUAAAUAAAUAAAUAUGAGAAGAAGAUUAAAAACUACAAAAUGACUAAAUAUUUAAAUAAAUUAACAUCACUAAAUUGUUUUAAAAAGCAAAAUAUGUCAAAAAAUUUAUUUAAAAUUGCUAUUGCAAAAGCACAAAACAAAUUAUAAAAUAUUAUUCAAGGAAGAUGUUAACAUAGUGCCAAUUUAAGAAUCACAUUUAAAAUUACGAUAUUUUUAAUUUAAAAAAAUAUAUAUAUAUAUAUUGUUUCGUUUUGUUUUCUUUUUUAGAAAAUAAAAGAAUAAUAAAAAUUUUUAUUUUAAUCAAAAAAUAAUUUAUUCUUAGUAGUCGUGCCAAGUAGUGCGCAACACAUUUCAACGCAUUUUUAACUUUUUUUUUUUUCUCUCUGUUUUUUCACACUUAAGUAUUUUUAAAGUAAUAAUAUAAUUUUUUUAAUAAAAAAAAAAAAAUACAAAAA